AUUGAACGCUAGCGGGAUGCUCUACACAUGCCAGUCGAACGGCAGCGCGGACUUCGGUCUGGCGGCGAGUGGCGAACGGGUGAGUAAUGUAUCGGAACGUGCCCAGUAGCGGGGGAUAACUACGCGAAAGCGUAGCUAAUACCGCAUACGCCCUACGGGGGAAAGCAGGGGAUCGUAAGACCUUGCACUAUUGGAGCGGCCGAUAUCGGAUUAGCUAGUUGGUGAGGUAACGGCUCACCAAGGCGACGAUCCGUAGCUGGUUUGAGAGGACGACCAGCCACACUGGGACUGAGACACGGCCCAGACUCCUACGGGAGGCAGCAGUGGGGAAUUUUGGACAAUGGGGGCAACCCUGAUCCAGCCAUCCCGCGUGUGCGAUGAAGGCCUUCGGGUUGUAAAGCACUUUUGGCAGGAAAGAAACGUCGCGGGCUAAUACCCCGUGGAACUGACGGUACCUGCAGAAUAAGCACCGGCUAACUACGUG
rnacentral:rRNA from 1 species